GUCCCCUUUGUGUCACUGCCUUGUGUUGCCCGUCCCCACGGCCCCGGCUGUCCCCUGGCAGCCUCCCCUUGACCCCGCUGUCUCCCUGCAGUGCCAGACGGAAACGCCCAAGACCCGCCGGCAAGCGGAGCUGAUGCAGAGCAGCAACCUGAUCGAGAUGGUGCCGCAGCCCAAGGGCAGGGUGUUCACCCGCUGCUUCUGCCUGGAGGAGCCGCUGGGCACCGAGCCGGGCAGAACCUCGGGAAGGACCAGCUUGAGGGAUGAUCCAAAGGACAAGUGCCCUCCCUGCUCUCCCCAGGCGGCAUCAGGAAAUGUGAGUGUGGCACCGGGCAUGGGCACCCCGAGCUGGCCGGGCUGGGCUGUGACCUGGGGGUGCCAAAAGCCACCGGGGCGCUGUCACCAACCCCCCACGACCCCACAGUUCCUCCUGGCCCUGCAACAUCUGGAAGGGCCUUGAUCUUUUCCAGAUGUGGCCCCAUUCCUACAGCAAC
rnacentral:lncRNA from 1 species